UACGAGAGGCCCAAACGUUAUUCGGAAUUACUGGGCUUAAAGAGUCCGUAGGCGGCUCAGAAAGUGGGGUGUGAAAGCCCUCGGCUCAACCGAGGAAUUGCGCUCCAAACUCCUGAGCUAGAGGAACCUAGAGGUGAGCGGAACUGAUGGUGGAGCGGUGAAAUGCGUUGAUAUCAUCAGGAACACCGGAGGCGAAGGCGGCUCACUGGGGGUUUUCUGACGCUGAGGGACGAAAGCUAGGGGAGCAAACGGG
rnacentral:rRNA from 1 species